ensembl:lncRNA
GGAGAAACACAAAUUAACUCAGAGACAGACUGAUGCGACACAACCAUCCAGACAUGGCUGGUAAGGACAUGAGGAGGAAACAGUAGGAGCUGUGUGAGGAUACUAAAGGCAGUGGAUCCCUCAGCAGCUGGAUUACAAAGAGCACAGUCUCAGAUCAGCACAGCCCUGCCCUCCAGCACUAUCAGCAGCAGGAGCAGCAGCAACCCCUCAACAGCAACAUUGUACCCAUCAGCACCCGCCCCUUUAAACGUCUCUGCACGGCCCUGGAGAAAAGAGUCAGACAGUUACCAAGUUGGAGCUUCACUCCAUUGUCAUCAGAAGGAGCACCCAGAGUCAGACUGAACAAGAAGAGGAGCAAGAUCAUGUCGGAGCUUUAAGUCUCAAAGUUUGAUGAGGAGCUACUGAAGCUUCUUUGUACAGGAUGUUCAGAUUUCUGCAGAGCUGAAGCUGCUUUCUUUUAUACCUGAGUAAGAGUGUGAUUUCACUGCGGUGUGACAUCAUUGGCCACAUGGAACAAAGCUUUCCAUUGUACACAAUAACACUAAACAGAAGCCAGAAAAAACAUCACAUGCCAAAAAAGUUAAUAGUUGUUGAACAGUCACGUUUUCUUGGUACUUCCAGGAGAACGUGACUGUUUUUGAUGUAAUUCUAUAUUUAUGGUUUGAUCAAAGGCCUUUUCAGCAUAAUGAGUAAAGAAACAGGACAGUUGUAACAAGAAGGAGCAAGUAGAGCUGCUCUCAUAAACAAAGACAGAACAAAUUCCUUACAUUAAAGAGCAUCAUCUCUCUCUUUUUAAAUCAAAAUUUUCUGUAAAAUGCAAAAAGGAAGAGCCCUCUUCUUUCAUCUGUUUUUGCAUUUAUAAGAUUUGGGCCAGGAGCGGAGGAAAAUAGUGAGACAUUUCUUUUUUUUUUUUUCUUGGUCCUUUUCAUGUUUCUACAGCAGAAUCACUGUGGCGAUCACUUUGAAGUCUCUUUGUGCUUGUUUUCUGUCUUAUUUUGUUUUGCUUUGCUACAUAAAUUACAGUACAGCAAAGUUCAGGUACUUGUGUCAGUAGUAUUUGGUGACCUGCACAGCGGACUCCAUUCCUACAAUCAAACAUGCACAAAGAGAAAAAGUGAGAGAGGCUGUCCGCUCGGGAGUGCAGAAAGAGAGCAUGACCUUCAGUAGCUUCAAGUGUUAAAGGAUCAUUUAAUCCCACAUUAACGAGUUCAUGAAGUUUUGAGAUUUAAAAAACAAACAAACAUGCUUUUACAAACACCACAGUCACUGUUUCUUUUUAAACGACAGAAAAGUUAACAGAUAAUUACUUCUUUUUUCCAUCCAUCCAUCCAUCCAUCCAUCCAUCCAUCCAUCCAUCCAUCUUCUUCCGCUUGUCCGGAGCUGGGUCACGGGGGCAGCAGCCUAAGAAGAGAAGCCCAGACCUCCCUCUCCCCAGCCACCUCCUCCAGCUUGUCCGGGGGAACACCCAGGCGUUCCCAGGCCAGCCAAGAGAUAAAAUCUUUAUAUGAUCUGGGUCUGCCCCGGGGCUUCCUCCUGGUGAAACAUCCUUGUCAGAUGCCCAAACCACCUCAACUAGCUCCUUUCCUCCAUUUGAUGUGGAGGAGCAGCGGCUCUACUCUGAGCCCCUUCCGGAUGGGUUAACUUCUCACCCUAUCUCUAAGGGAGAGGCCAGCCACCCAUCGGAGGAAGCUUAUUUCCGCCGCUUGUAUCCGCAAUCUUCUUUCAGUCACUACCCACAGCUCGUGACCAUAGGUGAGGGGAGGGCCAUAGGUCGACCGGUAGAUUUAGAGCUUCGCUUUUACACUCAGUUCUCUCUUCACCACCACGGACCGGUGCAGCAUUCACAUCACUGCAGCCGCAGCACCAAUCUGUCUGUCAAUCUCCCGCUCCCUUCUCCCGUCACUCACUCUUCCACUUGGAACAAGAACUUGUCCCUGACCCGGAGUGGGUACUACACCCUUUUCCAUUUGAGGACCAUGGCCUCAGAUUUGGAGGUGCUGAUUCUCAUUCCCACCAGUUCACACUCAGCUGCGAACCAUUCCAGCGCGAGUUGGAGGCAAUCACCUGAUGAAUCCAACAGAACUGCAUCAUCCGUGAAAAGCAGAGACGAUAUUCUGAGACCACCCAAGUGUGAGCCUCUGCCACUUGGCUGAGCCCAGACAUUCUGUCCAUAAAAAUUAUGAACAGAAUCAGUGCCAGGGCUGCCCUAACCCUAAGCCUUAUUUUUAAGUUACACUUUAUUAUAAAUUCAACAUGAUGUCACAAAGUUUGCAGAUAUCUUAAGACCAGUUUUAUUAAUAUACUUUGGAUUGCAAUUAGAAUCAAGUCUUCUUUGACUUUAUUAAAAGACAAAACACAUCGAUUGCAUUUACUGAGAAAGUUUCACAGACAGGUAGAGAUGGCAGUUGCUGCUUGUGACGAUAGUUUCAACAUAAUGCAAAAAAAUAUAAUGUUGUCCUAAUUUGGACCGACGUGUGGAAGUGGAUGGCUUUCUGUGGGGAGUCGGAGCUGUUUGAAUAGACUGAAAUAAUCUGCUGUGAUGCUCUGGAUUCUCUUACCUGUGUGUAAAAGUUGCUUUUGGUCUUAAAAUUACUGCAGUGAUUUACAAGAAAUGCCCAGUAUUAAUAUUGUUUUUUUUAAUCCAGUGUAAAAAAACCCAACAACAACAACAACAAGUGGUUCACAGCAGAUAAUUUACUGCAUUUUAAAAUUUUGCAAUCCAUGUAUUAUUAGUAAAAUUCCUGGUAAGAUAUCUACGUAAUACAUUUCACAAAUUAUUUGUUUAUUAUUUAUUUUUUAUUUAUUUAUUCAUUGUCAGUCUUAAGAAAGCCAGGGAGGGCAUUCAGAUGGUCCCUGCCAGGUAGUGCAGUUUCCAAUAAAUUUGACUUGGUUGUUAUCGGUUGUUAAUAAUCUCUU